UACCAUGACUUUCCCCUGAAUGUCUACUGC
rnacentral:piRNA from 1 species